CAGGGAUUGCCUUAGUAACUGCGAGUGAAGCGGCAAGAGCUCAAAUUUGAAAUCUGGCACCUUCGGUGUCCGAGUUGUAAUUUGUAGAAGCAUCUUUUGGAUUGGUCCUUGCAUAUGUUCCUUGGAACAGGACAUCAUAGAGGGUGAGAAUCCCGUUCAUGGUGGGGAAUCCAAUUCUUUGUAAAGUGCUUUCGAAGAGUCGAGUUGUUUGGGAAUGCAGCUCUAAGUGGGUGGUAAAUUCCAUCUAAAGCUAAAUAUUGGCGAGAGACCGAUAGCGAACAAGUACAGUGAUGGAAAGAUGAAAAGAACUCCGAAAGGAGAGUGAAAAAGGACGUGAAAUUGUUGAAAGGGAAGUGCUUGAGAUCAGUCUUAAGGUUUAGUGAUCAGUCUUCCUUUUGGUUGGUGCACUCACUAUUUCUUAGGCCAACAUCAGUUUUGGCGGCAGGAUAAUGACAUUGGAAUGUGGCUCUUUCGGGAGUGUUAUAGCCUUUGUUGAUACUGCCUGCUUAGACUGAGGACUGCGCUUUUGCUAGGAUGUUGGCAUAAUGAUCUUAAGCAGC
rnacentral:rRNA from 1 species